rnacentral:rRNA from 1 species
AACGAACGCUGGCGGCAGGCCUAACACAUGCAAGUCGAGCGAGGACUUCGGUCCUAGCGGCGGACGGGGGAGUAACGCGUGGGAACGUGCCCUUUGCUUCGGAAUAGCCCUGGGAAAAUGGGAGUAAUACCGGAUGAGCCCUUGGGGGGAAAGAUUUAUCGGCGAAGGAUCGGCCCGCGUUGGAUUAGGUAGUUGGUGGGGUAAUGGCCUACCAAGCCGACGAUCCAUAGCUGGUUUGAGAGGAUGAUCAGCCACACUGGGACUGAGACACGGCCCCGACUCCUACGGGAGGCAGCAGUGGGUAAUCUUAGACAAUGGGGGAAACCCUGAUCCAGCCAUGCCGCGUGAGCGAUGAAGGCCUUAGGGUUGUAAAGCUCUUUCAGCUGGGAAGAUAAUGACGGUACCAGCAGAAGAAGCCCCGGCUAACUCCGUG